rnacentral:rRNA from 1 species
CCUACGGGUGGCAGCAGUGAGGAAUAUUGGUCAAUGGGCUUACGCCUGAACCAGCCAAGUCGCGUGAGGGAAGACUGCCCUAUGGGUUGUAAACCUCUUUUGUCAGGGAGCAACGCCGGCUACGUGUAGCCGGACUGAGAGUACCUGACGAAAAAGCAUCGGCUAACUCCGUCCCAGCAGCCGCGGUAAUACGGAGGAUGCGAGCGUUAUCCGGAUUGAUUGGGUUUAAAGGGUGCGUAGGCGGAAUGCCAAGUCAGCGGUAAAAUCGCGGGGCUAAACCUCGCUCCGCCGUUGAAACUGGCGUUCUUGAGUGGGCGAGAGGUAUGCGGAAUGCGAGGUGUAGCGGUGAAAUGCAUAGAGAUCACGCAGAACUCCGAUUGCGAAGGCAGCAUACCGGCGCCCAACUGACGCUGAAGCACGAAAGCGUGGGUAUCGAACAGGAUUAGAUACCCGAGUAGUC